rnacentral:misc_RNA from 1 species
AAGUCGUAACAAGGUUUCCGUAGGUGAACCUGCGGAAGGAUCAUUACCAAAUCCAAAACUUUAUCAACACCAAACAAGUGAACUGAGAAUGGUUUCGUUCCCCUCUGCAUGUGCAUACAAUGUGUUUCCACAUUCGUGCGUGUGCGAAGGGGGAUGUUUUUUUUCAACCCCUUUUCAACCUCUUACAAUCUUUUAUGCUGAAAGCAAAAAAAACGAAACAUGAGACAACUUUUAACGGUGGAUCUCUUGGCUCGU